GGGUGCGAUCAUACCAGCACUAAUGCACCGGAUCCUAUCAGAACUCCGCAGUUAAGCGUGCUUGGGCGAGAGUAGUACUAUGAUGGGUGACCUCCUGGGAAGUCCUCGUGUUGCACCCC
rnacentral:rRNA from 1 species